AGAACGAACGCUGGCGGCAUGCCUAAUACAUGCAAGUCGAACGAGAUCUUCGGAUCUAGUGGCGCACGGGUGCGUAACGCGUGGGAAUCUACCCUUGGGUUCGGAAUAACAGUUGGAAACGACUGCUAAUACCGGAUGAUGACGAAAGUCCAAAGAUUUAUCGCCCAGGGAUGAGCCCGCGUAGGAUUAGCUAGUUGGUGAGGUAAAGGCUCACCAAGGCUACGAUCCUUAGCUGGUCUGAGAGGAUGAUCAGCCACACUGGGACUGAGACACGGCCCAGACUCCUACGGGAGGCAGCAGUAGGGAAUAGUUGGACAAGUGGGGGACAACCCUGAUCCAGCAAUGCCGCGUGAGUGAUGAAGGCGUUAGGGUUAGUAAAGCUCGUUUACCGAGAUGAUAAUAGACAGUAGUAGGGAA
rnacentral:rRNA from 1 species